rnacentral:snoRNA from 1 species
CCUGUCCCCAGAGGGGGUGCAGGUGCGGCUGCUGUGCCACACGUGCUUCCGCAGGUGGCAGAGAGGGGUAAGGCCGCGUCCACACUCAGUGUGCUCACCUGUGAACAUCGGGAUGAUUAGUAGCCUAUCGUU